AGAGUUUGAUCCUGGCUCAGAUUGAACGCUGGCGGAAUGCUUUACACAUGCAAGUCGAACGGCAGCACGGGGGCAACCCUGGUGGCGAGUGGCGAACGGGUGAGUAAUACAUCGGAACGUGCCCAGUCGUGGGGGAUAACUACGCGAAAGCGUAGCUAAUACCGCAUACGAACUCUGGUUGAAAGCGGGGGAUCGAAAGACCUCGCGCGAUUGGAGCGGCCGAUGGCAGAUUAGGUAGUUGGUGGGGUAAAGGCUCACCAAGCCAACGAUCUGUAGCUGGUCUGAGAGGACGACCAGCCACACUGGGACUGAGACACGGCCCAGACUCCUACGGGAGGCAGCAGUGGGGAAUUUUGGACAAUGGGCGCAAGCCUGAUCCAGCCAUUCCGCGUGCAGGAUGAAGGCCUUCGGGUUGUAAACUGCUUUUGUACGGAACGAAACGGUCUCGGUUAAUACCUGAGACUAAUGACGGUACCGUAAGAAUAAGCACCGGCUAACUACGUGCCAGCAGCCGCGGUAAUACGUAGGGUGCAAGCGUUAAUCGGAAUUACUGGGCGUAAAGCGUGCGCAGGCGGUGAUGUAAGACAGAUGUGAAAUCCCCGGGCUUAACCUGGGAACUGCAUUUGUGACUGCAUCGCUGGAGUGCGGCAGAGGGGGAUGGAAUUCCGCGUGUAGCAGUGAAAUGCGUAGAUAUGCGGAGGAACACCGAUGGCGAAGGCAAUCCCCUGGGCCUGCACUGACGCUCAUGCACGAAAGCGUGGGGAGCAAACAGGAUUAGAUACCCUGUAGUCCACGCCCUA
rnacentral:rRNA from 1 species